GAGCAGUUUUGGUGGGGCAGUAAGAACGGGAAGCGGAAGCCCAGCUGGGUUGCUUGGGAGGACAUGACUCAGCCAAAAAACCUAGAAGGUUUGGGGUUCCGAAACCUAGAGAUAUUUAACUCGGCAUUGUUGUCUAGGCAAGCAUGGGGUAUACUCCAGGAACCUACAUCCCUCAGUGCGAGAAUCUUGAAGGCAAAAUACUUCUUGACUUGCUCUUUUAUGGAUGCUGAGCUUGGCCCUCACCAGUCACAAAUAUGGAGGGCAAUGAUUGAUGGUAGAGAUGUCUUGUUACAAGGAAUUGUUUGACGGAUCGGAGAUGGGGAAACUACAAAUAUUUUGCGCAAUAACUUGAUCCCUAGGGAUCGAAUGAUGAGACCAAUUUCUCCUCGGACAACAAAUGCUUCACCAUUGGUGUCUGAGUUAAUUGAUGCGUCGUGA
rnacentral:rRNA from 1 species